rnacentral:RNase_P_RNA from 1 species
GUGGGCGGAAGCUCAUUGUAGAGGUCACAUGCUGAGUGCUUGUCACUCCACCAAUCACCUCGGGGAAGGUCUGAGACUGGAGCCAAUGGUUGCCUUAGCAGGGCAUCACCUGAUUCGGGUGAGUGAGUGAACAGAAAGAAAGGGCCGCAGCGAACCUGUUAACACAGGAGAAGCCAGAUGGAGCAGUUAUCUCCGCUGGUGGAUGUGAGGCUCGCAGGCUUGGAAUCACUCGCGGCUGGCGAAUGAGUGCGAUGUAUGAGGUGGAGCACCGCUCCAGAACCCAAUUCAGACUACUCUCCUCCCAC